rnacentral:lncRNA from 1 species
GGUAUGAGAAAUCUCUUUAGGGUUGAGCUGYGCUCCUUGCACGAUCUGUCUGAUCUGUUCAGUGGAACCAUAUGGAUUCUGCUACUAUCAGGGACCUCAGGAAGAGACUUUUUUUUAUGUGAUGAAGAACGAUACAGAUACAGAGACUAUGCAGAAAGAGGCUAUGACCGCCAUAGAACAAGCAGAGAGAAAGAAGACCGACACAGAGAAAGGAGACACAGAGAGAAGGAAGACACUAGGCACAAGUCAUCUCGAAGUAACAGCAGGCGCCGUCACGACAGUGAAGAAGGGGACAGCCACAGAAGGCACAAACACAAAAAAUCCAAAAGAAGCAAAGAAGGAAAAGAAGCCAGUGGUGAACCUGCUCCGGAACAGGAAAACACUGAAGCUGCCCCUGCAGAAUAGGCUUGCGUGAUUUUUGCCUACUUGCGUAUAUAUUAGUGCCAGAAAUAGAUUACUAUAAAUCCUGUUAUUUUUCUGGAUAUUAAAAUAAUUUGCUCUUAAUCUUGUUCUGUUAGUAUGAAAUCGAAGGUUACUUUGGUUUUUUUUGGAAAUAAAAGAAUGAAUUUUUCAUGUUAAGAUUCCUGG